UUAAUACUCCAUACGUCUGGAAAUACUUGUCCUAGAAGUGGAUGUCUCUAGACUUAUUUUAGUUAUAGAUACAUCCAAUUUAUACAUUUUGGGAACAAAUAUUUGCGGACAGAGGGAGUACCUA
rfam:Triticum aestivum genome assembly, contig: Triticum_aestivum_CS42_TGACv1_scaffold_000690_1AL